AUGCAUAGAAAAGCCAUUAGAUCUUUGGCUCUUUGCAAGAAUCUGCCCAUUCUCAAACACAAGCUCCAUAUACUCUUGAUCAGUUAACCUGCAACAACAAUAAAUCAGCUUGGUAAGAACAAACAUCAUCUGCAUCAGCUUGUGUGUUGUGUAUAUGUUAUGUGAAUGAAGAACUUAAUUUGGUCUGAAGUAUGAUGAUGAUGAUGGAGAAGUCAUGUUUGUCUUGUUUGGAAGAGUGCAGUUAAUAUCUUAGUGGGACAGUGCUGUUCAUUUGUACUAAAUCGAAUCUUGGCAUCUUCUAGUUUUUCCUAGAACUUUCAUUGCAAAAUUUUGAUUCCUAAAUACGAAAUCAUAAUAGGGUUUGAUUGGUAA